rnacentral:lncRNA from 1 species
GAAGCCACUGGUUAUAUAUAGCUAUGACGGGAAGGUAAUGUGAUCAUCUUCUCACAAUUAUUCUAAUCAUUCCACAACUUAACCGAUCGAAGCCCGACAACAAUGACUUUCUUAGUGGUAUUUCUUUCCAAGAUGUUUUUUCUUUUGAUGGUAGAUGUACGAAUGGUGCGAUGUACCAGCAAUAUACAUGUUCGGCGAUUCAACAGCUGAUGUCGGCAACAAUAAUCAACUUUUGGGGAAUGAAGUUCCCAGAGCUAACUAUUCACCAUAUGGCAUAGACUAUCCGGGUGGAAUAGCAACCGGAAGGUUUUGCAAUGGAAAGAUCGCAAUUGAUUACAUCGGUAUGUUGUUAUUUCUGGUUUUAACCGAAAGUAUAUCAACCGUCAUCCUUGAACCACAUCCAAAGACCACACCCCACUCCGACCCUUCUUCGGUAGUCGGCAUCUCCAUCUGUGUUGAGUGGUUUCUCAUCUCAUUCAAACAGAACUCGACAUGUUUCCGUACUCAUUCAGCAUUCUGACAGGAACUGGAAUCGCGGACAUGAGACCGGGCCAGUUCCUGUCAUAUCCCAUCGCGAUUACGACCGGAAUCGUAAACCGAAACCGCAAUCGUGAACCUAUCGCGAUUCCGGUCAACUGGAACCGCGAUCGUGAAUCGCGAACCAGAAUCCAUCGCAAUCGUGUCGUACUGAUGCUGUGUACGCAGUCAUCGGAUGAACUGCAUGAAAAAGACGUCGUACUUAUAUAUAUAUAUAAUUUUUUUGUGAUUUCAGCUAUGAUGAUGAGGUUUAAGGGAAGCCCACCACCAUAUCUUUCUACAAUCGACAACCCGUUAAAACAAGCGCAAGGAGUGAAUUUCGCCUCUGGGGGAGCCGGCAUUUUGGUGAGAAAUAUAUAUAUAUAUAUAUAUAUAUAUAUAUAUAUAUAUAUUAUUAUGGUAAAUUCGUAGACCAUACAUAUAAAUUAAUGCGUUGUAAUGAAAUUCUAAAAUAUUAAGGGGCAAAAUACAUCAAUUUAUUUGAACGCCCAAUUGAUGGACUUCAAAAGGACAAAAGAAAUCCUCAUAAAAGCAAAGGGAAAGGUGAGAGCAAAAAGAUUCUUGGCCAAGUCAAUCAUCUUGUUUAGUAUUGCGAGCAAUGAUUUAUUCGCUUUCACCCAAAAUUUUGGCUUCCAAAACACGACCAAAAAUAGUAUCUUCGUCUCUUCGCUUGCCUCCCAAUUCAAGAACCAGAUCAAGGUAUAUAAAAUUUAAGAAACAAAAUAUUAAUUUCUUCUUACCCCCAUUUAAAUAUUUUGUGGUGUGUGUAUAUAUAUUAUAGAUAAUAUAUCGACAAGGAGGAAGAAAGUUUGUGGUAUUUGGUGUCGGUCGACUUGGUUGCAUUCCGGCAUUGAGGGCAUUUAAUGCCAACUAUUCCUGUUUAGAAGAUAUGAAUAAUUUGUCUAAGCUUUUCAACGAGGCAUUAAAAAUGGAGCUACACCAUCUCAGAUCAAUAUGUCGAAGAAUGAAUGUUUUGUAUAUUGAUUCAUAUGGUAUCAACGAGGUUAUUACUUCUUCACCACUGAAAUAUGGAUUCACUGAAAUAAAAGCGGCUUGUUGUGCGCUUAAUGCACGAGGAUUAUGUCUACCCAAUUCUACAUUAUGUGAAAAUCGAAAUCAGUAUAUUUCAUGGGAUUCGAUUCACCCUACACAAGCAUUGUAUGAGGUGUCUACAAAUUUCGCCUUUUAUGGUUCUCCAACUUUUGCUUACCCCAUCAAUAUUCAAGAAUUGAUUUUCAUGUAAUUGAAAAUAUCUAUAAUUUUACCAUUUUAAAGACAAGAAUAAAGACUUUUCAAAUAAAUCACGUGUGCAAUAUCAUGUAUUAAUUGAAUACGAAAAGGUUGGGUUGAUUAAAAUCCUAAUUUUAAUAUUGUGAAAUAAAAUAAACAAAAGGUUUCAAUAGAGUAUAAGUAAAGCUUGGUUCGUUAAGCUCGGGCUUGCGAGUCCAAUUAAAGAGUCCGAACCUAAAGCUCAAGCUCGAUAAGCUUAUCAAGCCGAGCUGAUCGAGUUUGGAUAUUCCAAGCUUGGCUCGUUAAACUCGAUGGGCUCGGUAAGAGGAGUAUACAAAAAUAAAAUAUUAUAUUUGAAGAGAAUAUACAAUAAAUACCUUUAUACAAUUAUAGUUUAUAUAAAUAACUAAUACUCUAAUACCAUAUAUAUAAUGAAUAAAAGCGCUCAAAAGCGCUCAUCCAUCUGGACCGUUCGAUGUGGAUGGAUGAUUGUGCAUCGUCCGUGAGAUAAUCAUAUCAAAAUGUAUAAUUUGUGAGAUGAAUAGGUGUACUUUUAGUGAUAAUUUUUUGGUUAAAGUUUGAAUUGAAAACUGACACCUAGGGUGUUAAACGAGCCGAUCCAAGUUUUUGCUUAUAGAGUCGGACUUGGGCUCGGCUUGUUAAGAUAUCAUCUGGGCUCGGCUCGUCAGAGAUUUUUUAGGCUCGAGCCCGCGAGGCUGGGCUCGAAUUAAAAGAAAUUCUUUUUUGGAGACAUAGAGGAUCAAACCCGUGACCUCUCACAUGCUUAACAAACGUUUUACCAUUUGUGCUACACCUUCAUUCUUUCUAAAUUUAAUAUUUUUUUAGUUUUUUAUACUUCCCAUGGGCUCGAAUUAAAAGAAAUAAUUAUUUGGAAACAUGGGAAAUCGAACCCAUGAUCUCUCAAAUACUAAACAAACAUUUUACCAACUAUGCUACGUCUCUAUUCUCUCUAAAUUUGAUAUUUUUUAAGAUUUUUAUACCUACCAACGAGCCCACUCGAGCUUAAACGAGUCGAGUCCGAGCCGAGUCGGGCUUUAUUUGACACCCUACUGACACCACCUUACUCUCUAAAAAGGUUAUUUUUUUCGUUUUUCCCACCACACUCCUGUUUUCAUAUUCCUUAUCGCGUCUCUCCACAGUACGUCACCGACGAUUUUGCUCUCCAUGAAAUGGGGGUUUUCCGAUCAGUGAAUUAUUCCGGUGAGGGUUCUCCAAGAUCCGAACAGAAACAACAACAAUGAAUUCCACGAAAGUGAGUGACUGAUUCGUUUGUUUUUGGGUUUUUGAUAGAUUAAUAAGCGGUGGUGAUUGAAAUCAUGGAAUACUGAAAUUGUGUUGUGCUGCUUUGGGAGUAGCACAGAGUGAAUGGUGGGUUGAAACAACAUAUCCGUUUCUUGUUUUUAUUAAAAUCUCUUUUCAAAUUGGGUUUUCGUAUCUUCAUUUUACCGCAUCUUCUCUGUGGGUUUGGCGCUCACAGAUCUUCUUUGAAUAAUCAAAACCACCAACUCUGUCUUUUAAUUUUAAUGUGUUAGGUGCAGGCGAAGAAGAACAGAGAGAUGCUGCAGAGGAGGAGGAACGACCACCAGAAAAUGGACCCAGGUGCAGGCGACGUUAUAAAAGAUUUGAAGACAUAGGACGAAUGCAUUUGACGAACAACGGUGACAUAUGAUUCAUGAACGUUAAUAUCAAUGAGUUUCAGAACAACGAUAUUAAACAUUUCAGAACAUGGAUCGACAAGAUUUCGGGGACAACGGUGACAUAUAUUUGAUGUUGCUCCAGUAGAUGUUUCAGGAAUGUGAUGUUGUUGUUUCUGAAGAAGUUCGGGAUGUUGUUCCAGUAGAGUGUGAUGUUGUUGUUCCUGAAAAAGUUCGGGAUGGUGUUCGUGAAGAAUUUGAUGUUGUUGUUCCUGAAGAGGUUAGGGAUGGUGGUCGUGAAGAAUGUGAUGUUGCUGUUCCUGAGGAAGGUGGUGAUCGUGUUUCUGAAGAAUGUGAAGUUGUUGUUCCUGAGGAAGGCGGUGAUGGUGUCCCUGAAGAUUGUGAAGUUGCUGAUCGUAAAAAGUGGAUGAUGUACAUCAUGUAGGUACUAGGUAGGUAGAGAAAGUAAAGAAAAACAUGGAGAUGUGUGCACUCCUAAAUAUUAAAAAACAUUAAAAAACCUUAAAAUAAGAGGACGACUCAAAUUGAUUCAUAGAAGAUCCAACGGCUCACAUAGGGUGAGCGUUUUUGAGCUCACCUUAUGUUGAGCUCACUGGAUAAUUUCUGUAUAUAUAAUAUAACCAAUAAUCUUAACCUAAAAUAUAUAAAUAAAUAAACCUUAAACGAGCCAAGCCCGAACCUGGCAAUUAUUUGCCGAGCCUGAGCUCGACGAGCUCAAGCCCGAGUCUGGAUAAUUCCUUAACGAGCCGAGGUUGGCUCUAUAAGUAAAAGUUUGGCUCGACUCGUUUGACGCCCUAGGUUUCAAUUAUAAAAUUGAUGAAAAUUAAUUAAAUUACCGUCCAAGCAUAUGAUUUUAAAUUUUGGUAUAAUAAAAGUUGUUCGUAAAUGUGUGGUGUUGUGAGUAUAUAAGAUUGUUUUAAGCAGUACUGUUGUACCAAAUUGAUCUUAGACUCUGAUACCAUAGAGAAGAAAGGGAUGAGGUUAAUAAUAAAUUUAAGAAAAAAGAGGAAAAUUGUCUAGGAGUCAUGAUUAUGAAAAAAGAAAAUUAAUUUAAUAAAAAAACAAGAGUAAAAUCGUGAGAAAAAUUUUACAUUCAAGAAAAAGUUGUAGAAAAUAUUACAAAGUCCAAUACAGCUAGAAUAUAAGGAGUUAGCGAACAAAGCUAGACACGAAGUUAUAUUCAAAGUCUGUGACCUGGUGAAUUAAAAUUUGGUUGAUAGUCUAAGUGGAUGAUAUGUCACAAGUAAUAAUAUCAUCCAAGUUAAUUAAGAAUUCAUCAAACCUCUAUACAUAAUACAUGGAGUUUCUAUUUCUUUUUAUGCUUAAGGAUUCUCAGUGGUUGAUUUUGCCGUUGUAUUGUUGAUAUAUUACAUCUUUUAAUACAGCAUACACCUUUGAAUUUCAUACAUUGAUGAUAUGAAAAUGUUACUAUUCGAAUAUGGCAUUAUAUGCUGAUGCAUGUAAAUCUGAAAACUGUGAAUACUACCUUUUUGGUUGUGGCGAAUUUGCCAUCUCCUAGAGUUACUUAGAGUGAAAUAUUACCCGCUACUCAAAUUUUUACUCCGCCAAAACCUUUUAUUGGAAUAUUACAUGUUUCAACAUUUUCUUCUUUUAAAUCCAUAUUUUUAAAGGCAUUCCAUUGUAAAAUAUCUAUUGAGGCGCUAGUGUCUACUAAGAUUUUGUGUAUGAGUAUUCUCCUAUGCUGGGUGUUAUUACUAAAGGAUCCUGGUGUGGUAUUUUUAUUUCAUUGAGGUCUUUGUUGGAGAAAUUAAUUGGUUCUGGAUUUAAUUUAUGUUUUUUAAUUGAUUGAUUGAUUGUGAAGCUAGAUUUCUUUUUACUUAUGUUUUUCUAUGAUGACAAAUAUAAUUUUGGUUGGAUUUUUCUUACUAAUUAUGAGGUUUAUUUGGGAAGGAUUUGUUUUGUCUAAUAUACCAUAACUUUUGCUAGAGCUUUACAAUCUUUGGUUGCUUUUUGGUCACUACGUUAGUCGCAAAAAACCUUGUCGCUAGUGAUCUGUAAGCGACAAACUUUCUGAGUUGGUCAUUUGAAGGUGACCAUGCAACUUGCGCUCAAUAAAUUUAAAUCUGACCAAAUUUUUGGCGUCAACAUAAGGCCGAACAUGCUUAUUGGUUGGUCGUAAAAAUUUGACACCAACAUUAGGGUGACCAAUUAACUUGGUUUUGAAACCAACAUAAGGGAGACCUGCCUCGAAAUAUGACCGGGGCACGGGGCAGAAUAUCUGCCUCGACCCCGAUUACCACAGGGUGCACGGAACAGGACGAUAACGGGAUGACCCGUCCGGUUCUUAUCCCUAUAUAUAUAUAUAAUUAUAUAAAUAAAUUAUACUAUAUGAUAUAUAUAGAGAGUUGUCUUAAUAAAUUAUACUAUAUUAUAUAUUAUAUAAGGUUGUAUUAAUAAAUUGUACUAUAUUAUACAUAAUGCAGGUUUAUGUUCAUAGUUUUCUUCCAGGUACCAGGUACCGGGAUGGAGAUCAAGGAUUUCGGUCGAAAACGGAAAUAGAGAUUUUCCUACUUCGAGUAGGAAAAUUCCCCCCAUACUCGAUCGAGGAGGCCGGGCCUCAUACGAAAUAUCACCCUUAACCCUUUAACGGACAUGGUAAUAAAUUUUGGGAAAAAAAAAAAAUAUUAGAAAGUAAUAAAUUAUUUUAAUUAUUUAAUUAAGGGUGGAAAUAGACAGGGUAAGAUUUUGCCCAAUCAUUUUUUGAGGUGAAUCUCUGGUCGGGACCGGUACAUCCUAAGAAUGCAUCAAUGCCGUCAACCACUGGUUAUAUGUGGCUAUCACAGAAAGGUAAUGUAUCACUUUCUACAUGGCGACAAUAAAUUGAACAUUAUUUUGUAAUUAUUACUUAUAAAUACGACCAUCUUCUUACAAUUAUUCUAAUCAUUCCCCGACAACAAUGACUUUCUUAGUGGUAUUUCUUUCCAAGAUGUUUUUUCUUUUGACGGUAGAUGCACGAAUGGUGUUAGGAUGCGUCAAUGUACCGGCAAUAUACAUGUUCGACGAUUCAACAGCU